rnacentral:rRNA from 1 species
UACAGAGGUCCCAAGCGUUGUUCGGAUUCACUGGGCGUAAAGGGUGCGUAGGUGGCAUUGGCCAGUUUGAUGUGAAAGCUCAGGGCUUAACCCUGAAAUGGCAUUGAAUACUGCUGUGCUGGAGGUUUGGAGGGGGGACUGGAAUUCUUGGUGUAGCAGUGAAAUGCGUAGAUAUCAAGAGGAACACCAGUGGCGAAGGCGAGUCCCUGGACAACACCUGACACUGAGGCACGAAAGCUAGGGGAGCAAACAGG